rnacentral:rRNA from 1 species
AGGUGCUGCACGGCUGUCGUCAGCUCGUGUCGUGAGAUGUUGGGUUAAGUCCCGCAACGAGCGCAACCCUCGUCACUAGUUACUAACAGUUAGGCUGAGGACUCUAGUGAGACUGCCUUCGUAAGGAGGAGGAAGGUGAGGACGACGUCAAGUCAUCAUGGCCCUUACGGCUAGGGCAACACACGUGCUACAAUGGUUAGGACAGUGAGAAGCGAUACUGCGAGGUGGAGCCAAUCUAUAAACCUAAUCUCAGUUCGGAUUGUAGUCUGCAACUCGACUACAUGAAGCUGGAAUCACUAGUAAUCGUAGAUCAGCUAUGCUACGGUGAAUACGUUCCCGGGUCUUGUACUCACCGCCCGUCACACCAUGGGAGUUGAUUUCACCCGAAGCGGGGAAGCUAAACUGGCUACCCUCCACGGUGGAAUUAGCGACUGGGGUGAAGUCCUAACAAGGUA